GGGAAUGUGGCUCAGUGGUGGAGUGCUUGCCUCGCAUGCAUGUAGCCCUGGGUUUGAUUCCUCAGUACCA
rnacentral:tRNA from 1 species